rnacentral:misc_RNA from 2 species
AACGCACAUUGCGCCCCUUGGUAUUCCGAGGGGCAUGCCUGUUCGAGCGUCAUUACAACCCUCAAGCCUCGCUUGGUCUUGGGCCUCGCCGCUAACCCGGCGGGCCUUCAAAACAGUGGCGGUGCCAUGAGGCCCUGAGCGUAGUAAACAUCCUCGCUUUAGGGACCUGGUGGUGCUUGCCAGCAACCCCCCACUUUCUAAGUUUGACCUCGGAUCAGGUAGGGAUACCCGCUGAACUUAA